rnacentral:rRNA from 1 species
AGUGAACGCUGGCGGUAGGCCUAACACAUGCAAGUCGAACGGCAGCACAGUAAGAGCUUGCUCUUACGGGUGGCGAGUGGCGGACGGGUGAGGAAUACAUCGGAAUCUACUUUUUCGUGGGGGAUAACGUAGGGAAACUUACGCUAAUACCGCAUACGACCUACGGGUGAAAGCAGGGGAUCUUCGGACCUUGCGCGAUUGAAUGAGCCGAUGUCGGAUUAGCUAGUUGGCGGGGUAAAGGCCCACCAAGGCGACGAUCCGUAGCUGGUCUGAGAGGAUGGUCAGCCACACUGGAACUGGGACACGGUCCAGGCUCCUAAGGGAAGGAACAGUGGGGAAUAUUGGACAAUGGGGGGAAACCUGGUCCAACCCUACCGCGUGGGUUGAAGAAGCCUUCCGGUUGUAAAGCCCUUUUGUUGGGGAAAAAAAGCCGCAGGUUAAUACCCCGCUGUUCUGACGGUACCCAAAGAAUAAGCACCGGCUAACUUCGUG